UAAUAUUUUUUUAUUAAAUUAUAUGAGUCA
rnacentral:piRNA from 1 species